rnacentral:rRNA from 1 species
UACAGAGGUCCCAAGCGUUGUUCGGAUUCACUGGGCGUAAAGGGUGCGCAGGCGGUUGGGUGUGUCAGAUGUGAAAUCCCGAGGCUUAACCUCGGAACUGCGUCUGAAACUACUCGACUAGAGUACUGGAGAGGGAAACGGAAUUCACGGUGUAGCAGUGAAAUGCGUAGAUAUCGUGAGGAACACCAGAGGCGAAGGCGGUUUCCUGGACAGUUACUGACGCUCAGGCACGAAAGCAUGGGGAGCAAAAGGG